AACCCAGCAGCGUUACACAGAAUUUAAGCCAUUUUAUAGACAUUGUGCUUAAACCUUUAUGUCGUGAAGUUCCAAGUUUUAUACGAGACGAUUUGGACUUUUUAAAUCAUCUACCAAAAACUGUCAACCCGAAUUCAGAACUUAUUACUUUUGAUAUUGUCAGCCUAUACACAAAUAUCCCUCAUGACUUAGGAAUUACAGCCGUAAAAUAUUGGUUAGAAAAUACGGA
rnacentral:lncRNA from 1 species